AUUGCACGCUGGCGGCAGGCCUAACACAUGCAAGUCGAGCGAGCGGCGGACGGGUGAGUAAUGUAUGGGGACUGCCCGAUAGAGGGGGCUAACUACUGGAAACGGUAGCUAAUACCGCAUACUAUCGGAUAACCCAUAUGGGAUUAGCUAGUAGGUGAGGUAAUGGCUCACCUAGGCGACGAUCCCUAGCUGGUCUGAGAGGAUGAGCAGCCACACUGGGACAGUGACACGGCCCAGACUCCGACGGCGGCAGCAGUGUGGAAUAUUGCACAAGGGGUGCACGCCUGAGGCAGCCAUGCCGCGUGUAUGAGGAAGGCCCUAGGGUGGUAAAGUACGUUCAGUCGGGAGGCGUUACCGACAGAUGAAGGACCGGCUAACUCCGUGCCAGCAGCCGCGGUAAUUC
rnacentral:rRNA from 1 species